CCUACGGGUGGCAGCAGUGGGGGAUAUUGCACAAUGGGGGAAACCCUGAUGCAGCGACGCCGCGUGUGGGAAGACGGUCCUCUGGAUUGUAAACCAUUGUCCCCAGGAACGAAAAUGACGGUACCUGGGAGGAAGCCCCGGCGAACUACGUGCCCGCCGCCGCGGUCAUACGUAGGGAGGGGGCGUUGGUCGGAAUUACGUGGGUGAAAGGGAGCGUAGGCGGGGAUGCAAGUUGGGUGUCAAAACUACCGGCUCAACUGGUAGUCGCACUCAAAACCGCAGCUCUUGAGUGAAGUAGAGGCAGGCGGAAGUCCUAGUGUAGCGGUGAAAUGCGUAGAUAUUAGGAGGAACACCAGUGGCGAAGGCGGCCUGCUGGGCUUUUACUGACGCUGAGGCUCGAAAGUGUGGGGAGCAAACAGGAUUAGAUACCCUUGUAGUC
rnacentral:rRNA from 1 species